rnacentral:rRNA from 1 species
UACGGAGGGUGCGAGCGUUGUCCGGAAUCACUGGGCGUAAAGGGCGCGUAGGUGGCCUCUUAAGUGUGUGGUGAAAGCCCGGGGCUCAACCCCGGGUCGGCCAUGCAAACUGGGGGGCUGGAGCACUGUAGAGGCAGGCGGAAUUCCGGGUGUAGCGGUGGAAUGCGUAGAGAUCCGGAAGAACACCGGUGGCGAAAGCACUCUGCUGGGCCGACACUGACACUGAGAGACGAAAGCUAGGGGAGCGAAUGGG